UAAAAAGAUUUCGAAAAAAUAGAGAAAAAUGCAAAAAUCCCGCAGGAACGCCCACAUGAGGGAUCCCACCAACGCAGGCUCUAUAAGCCACUGGUUGGGCGGCCUACUGUCGUCACUUAGGUGACGUUCGUCAUUUGGGUGGCAUGCCUUUGGUUUUUGUGCCGCUGUCACAUCGCAUCGUCCAUCUGUCAACCACAUCUGUCGAUCACAUCCGUCAGUCGUCACAUCUCACAUUUUCCAUUGACUUUCUCUCUCUUCACAGUAUUUUGUCACUUGACACAAAUUUAAUGGUCCCCAUUUUCUAUAAAUAGGGACCCUCACUUCACCAUUUACUCAU
rnacentral:lncRNA from 1 species